rnacentral:tRNA from 1 species
GGGGAUUUAGCUCAGCGAUAGAGCACUUGCCUAGCAAGCGCAAGGCCCUGGGUUCGAUCCCCAGCUCCG